UACGUAGGGGGCAAGCGUUGUCCGGAAUUAUUGGGCGUAAAGCGCGCGCAGGCGGUUCGGAAAGUCUGGUGUUUAAACUUGGGGCUCAACCCUAAGUCGCACGGGAAACUGCCGGACUUGAGUGCAGGAGAGGAAAGUGGAAUUCCACGUGUAGCGGUGAAAUGCGUAGAGAUGUGGAGGAACACCAGUGGCGAAGGCGACUUUCUGGCCUGUAACUGACGCUGAGGCGCGAAAGCGUGGGGAGCAAACAGG
rnacentral:rRNA from 1 species